rnacentral:lncRNA from 1 species
GGAAAAAAAGAACAUAUUUUGCUAGUUAUGUUCAAAGUUAAUGUUUGUGUUUGUCCUUAUUUCUUCUCCUCCUUUUCCCCUUCAAAUUUUAAAUUAUUUGUUUGCCGCACCAGAGCCAAAUUGCUUUGAUCCUUUAAUUAUCUGAAUUAUUUUUCUGUGUUCUUUGUUUCUCUGCCAAUCAUUAAUUCAUCUUGUGUGAACAGACUGCUAAAAAAUUCAGGUUUUGCACAGCAUGGCAAUGAGGUAUGAUAUGCUUAGCUUUUACAUCCAAGAGUUUUAAGACUUCCUGAUUCAUCAUAUGAGCCAAUGAACAUGUUUAUCUAAUGCUUUGCAAAAAGAAUAAUCUUGUUCUUUCUGUUGGCAUUGUUUCCCUUUUGACUAUCAUAUUCACUUGAGCACCAGUGUCAAACUGACUUCUGUUAAAGCUAAUCCAUUCCUCAGUGAUAGUAUCCUUAAAAGAAACACUGUCUCUCUCUGUCACGAUGAUAACAAUAAACCUAAGAGCUGAUUCUCUCAGUGUAAACUGCCAAAUGUGACGAACUGCUGCUCAAACUUGACUAGUUGAGAACACCAUAUGUUUCAGUCGUGUCCUGGCAGGUCUCUGCAGUUACAAGUAGUUUUCAACUCUGUGCUUAACAUAAUAAUACUCUGUAUUUAACAUAAAUACUCUGUAUUUAACUCUCUCUUCUGCCCCAGUCAUCGGUUUGACUUCUUUCCUUGUAUUGCCCUUCAUCACAAUUCUCAGUCUCUCACAGUCUUACAUUUCCUUUUUCUUCUUUGGAAAACUCCCCAGUUUCUGUACUCCUUUUUGACUCCUUUCUCAAACAGUCAUUCCAUUUCAGAUAUCCCCCCAGUCUCUAAAAUCAUGAGAUGCACUGCCUACAACAAAUGCACGAGCUUCCUCUUCUGCACGUGGUCACCUUCCAGCUUUGCUUCCAGUAUUUCUGCUCCACUGAAGAUACGCUCACUGCUGUCUCCAGGACCCUUUCCAAAGUCAAACACCAGGACCCUUUCUUAAUAACUUUUCUUUUUUUACCUACUCUUGUUUUAGAUAUCAAUCACCACUCUAGCCUUUACUUAUAUUUUGUUCUAGUGUAUAUACAUAAAGCGAGGCCUUUUUCCUCCUGCAUCCUCCCACAAUUUCUUCCGCAGUCCUCAAGAGGGGAAUUUUUUCUGAGAAGAUCCCUAAGGCUCCUAAGCUGCUGUGUCUGACUGAAGCAAGUCGAAGACAGAAAAUCUGCCAAAAGGCUCUAGGAAUCAGACAGCCAUUGAAUGGACAAGACUGUUUAACCAACGUGGAAGCAGCACAGAGGAAAAGGAAAAAAAAAAAAAAAGAAGAAGAAAAAAAAAUCCCUGCUUUUCUCUCAGACUAGUGAGUCAGUCAUAUUCAAACUAUGUUUGUGGGAUGACUAACUAGUGUCAGAGCAGAAGACACCACGCCAAGACUAGAAGAGGAUGAGACUGUUCAGCUUCAGAGCAGAAUUAUGCCAGCUUAAAUUGUCCAGAAAGCCCAAUCUGCUUCAUCUUUCCACACCCUUUAGGAAAAAUGAGCCCAUGUCCUGGUGUUAAAAAAUCACCUUUCUGUGUAUAAUCUAAUGCCUCAUAAACUGACAAAACCCUUCAGGAAACCACAUCAGCUAUCCCUCUGCUUCCUUUUUGUCCUUCAUGUGGAUGGAGAUAAAACUUCUCCUCCACAGCAGUGUUGAGAGAAUUCAUGUUUGAAAUAACCAAUGUUACUUGUUUCCCUGUAUUCUAAAUGUUUUAUUUGUUACCAGCUGUGGGAGGAGGAGGGAGGGGGAGAGGGAGACAAAAAGCAAGCUAAGGAAACAGAAACAUAUUCACUCAAACUAUAUGCAAUUUCUUUGUUUCUUGACAGGAUCUGAAGCCACGUCUCCUCAACAACGACCUAGCUGCAACACUGUAAGAUAUUCUAGAGAGGUUUGUUCACAGUCUCUCCCACUGAUUCUGUUCCAUCUUGUAUGGACUAUUUAAAUAUUCAUUAAGCCAAUGAGAAGGAAAAUUACUCAGUAUUAAAGCACUUUCCUAAGUACUUUCCUGGAAGGUGACAAAUCUUGGCUCAUGUCCAUGUUUUGAUUCAGAGCAGAAUUAAGAAUCAAGGUCUCUCUUUUCUCAGGAAUGUACUCUAAGAAAGUUGCACCUAACUUUUUUAUUGUCUUGGAGAAUAUUUAGCCUCUACAAGUGGCAGAGAGUCAGUGGAAUGUGUUGUACACAAAAUACAGGAUAACACGGUAGUUAAGACAUCCUGAAAUUUGCAAAUUCAGAUCUCCAGAGGAAGGGGCUUGUGUGAACAUGAGAUGAAAAGGACAGUUUCCUCAGCUAGAGGGCAUGCAACCACAGUGUAACCAGUUUUUCCUCAAUCAGAUUUUCAAUUUUGCAAUUAUAACCACACAUGCUGCUUUGCACCUUGUAUCAGAGUUCAUUCCUACAGCAGAAAGCAAUAAAUAAUUUUCUGAUGGCA